GCGGCUGUCUAGUCUGUACUGACGCUGAGCUCGAAGCAUGGGUAGCGAACAGGAUUAGAUACCUGGUAGUCCAUGCCGUAAACGAUGAGUGCUAAGUGUUGGAGGGUUUCCCCCUUCAGUGCUGCAGCUAACGCAUUAAGCACUCCGCUGGGGAGUACGACCGCAAGGUUGAAACUCAAAGGAAUUGACGGGGGCCCGCACAAGCGGUGGAGCAUGUGGUUUAAUUCGAAGCUACGCGAAGAACCUUACCAGGUCUUGACAUCUUCUGCCAAUCUUAGAGAUAAGACGUUCCCUUCGGGGACAGAAUGACAGGUGGUGCAUGGUUGUCGUCAGCUCGUGUCGUGAGAUGUUGGGUUAAGUCCCGCAACGAGCGCAACCCUUAUUAUCAGUUGCCAGCAUUCAGUUGGGCACUCUGGUGAGACUGCCGGUGACAAACCGGAGAAAGGUGGGGAUGACGUCAAAUCAUCAUGCCCCUUAUGACCUGGGCUACACACGUGCUACAAUGGACGGUACAACGAGUCGCGAAGUCGUGAGGCUAAGCUAAUCUCUUAAAGCCGUUCUCAGUUCGGAUUGUAGGCUGCAACUCGCCUACAUGAAGUUGGAAUCGCUAGUAAUCGCGGAUCAGCAUGCCGCGGUGAAUACGUUCCCGGGCCUUGUACACACCGCCCGUCACACCAUGAGAGUUUGUAACACCCAAAGCCGGUGAGAUAACCUUCGGGAGUCAGCCGUCUAAGGUGGGACAGAUGAUUAGGGUGAAGUCGUAACAAGGUAACCA
rnacentral:rRNA from 1 species